CUAGGAUGCCUUGAGGGUGAGUAAUUUAUGGGGUAAUGUUCAUUUUUGGGUGAAUAUGCCUUUAAUGUCAGAGUGGGUUUAUUGUGACUCCUUCUGACAUUCACAGGUGCCGCUGUCUGCUCAGUUAAUUCCUUACUGUUUACACAAAGAUAUGAUUUUUAUUAUUAUAAUGAACAUUAUUAUUAUUAUUAUAAUUACACAAAAAUAAUAUUUUAAUUCACUUGCAGCAUUUCAGUGCAUUGUGGUUGAACACACAGCUUUAUUUGAAUGUGAAUGUGCUUUUGUUAGCCCUUAGCAGCCGCUCCGAAUCUCCAGCUGUAUCUCAGAGAUCAGCCGCUGAUCGCACUCAGAGACACUCACUCUGAUUUCUCCCAUAAUGUGAUGAAAUAGAAGCCUGACGGCAAAGAUGUGCAUUUGUUUAGCAGUGAUGUUUUUUCUAGAUGCUGAGCAGAAGAACGGAAAGGGCCCAGAUUCGCCUCUGAAGGACAGGAGAGCAGAGACGGAUAUCGGAUUCAGCAGCCACUGCUCGCAUCCCAAAGGCCCCCGGGAGCCUCCGUCGGAGUGGACGUGACCGCGGCACCCAUCCGCUCCACACUCCACGCUCCUCUUUCUUCUAUAAGUGCCACUGUAGACGACGGCGCCUCUUCUCUGACUAACACAAUCAGUAAAGCUACAAAGAUAAUCUCCCAUGAUGCACCUCGCUGCCAUGGACUCGCUGUGCUGGUGCUAAGCGUGUCUCCGGGACCAGAACCUGCCUUACUCCUGCUGCGGGGCUGGACCCGUUCUUCUGCAAUAGUUUAGACUGAGAUCAGACGGCGCGGGCCGGAGUUCACAGGGCGAGCCGUAAAUGAUGAUGAUGAUGAUGCAAACGUACUAUCACUGAAUAUAUUAUUGCGAUGUAAGACGUCUGUGCAUGAAAGCGUCUGGUGUACCUCAAACUGUAAGUUAUUUGCCCUCCUGUUACAACAAAUGCUUUCAGGGCUGUUUUCUCUUUCUGGCCCUUUCUUUGCGUAUCGGCCGCUUCACGAGACGAUGCGGGCUGGAGAUUGUAUUGUUGAUGCUUUUUGUAAAUUGUAUUCUAGACAUUAUUUUUGUAUAUGCCAUUUUCUCACUUCACGAACGACUCCAGACAGCUCGCCCGUGCCUUUUUUUUUACUGUGUGUGUGUUUGAGACGCAGAGAGAGAAUGUGUGCAAGUUACAUAACGUCGCAUUUAAACCUCUGGGAUUGUACUUGACUUUCCAACACAGACCUGUCAAUCAAUCAGUCAAUGUCAGUAAAACAUUAGGAGGAAAAA